rnacentral:rRNA from 1 species
AGCAGUCGCCGCGGUAAUGCGAAGGGGGCUAGCGUUGUUCGGAUUUACUGGGCGUAAAGGGCGCGUAGGCGGACUGAUAAGUCAGGGGUGAAAUCCCAAGGCUCAACCUUGGAACUGCCUUUGAUACUGUUUGUCUUGAGUUCGAGAGAGGUAAGUGGGACUGCGAGUGUAGAGGUGAAAUUCGUAGAUAUUCGCAAGAACACCAGUGGCGAAGGCGGCUUACUGGCUCGAAACUGACGCUGAGGCGCGAAAGCGUGGGGAGCAAACAGGAUUAGAUACCCCCGUAGUCCCUGUCUCUUAUAC